rnacentral:ribozyme from 1 species
AAAAAUAAAACAAGGAAAUCAAAGCAAAAAAAAAAAAAAAAACGGAAAAAAAAG